UACGGAGGACGCAAGCGUUAUCCGGAUUUAUUGGGUUUAAAGGGUGCGCAGGUUGUUUGAUAAGUCAGUGGUGAAAGUCUGUCGCUUAACGGUAGGAUUGCCAUUGAUACUGUUAGACUUGAAUAUGGAUGAGGUAGGCGGAAUGUGUAGUGUAGCGGUGAAAUGCAUAGAUAUUACACAGAACACCGAUUGCGAAGGCAGCUUACUAAUCCAUCAUUGACGCUGAGGCACGAAAGCGUGGGGAUCAAACAGGA
rnacentral:rRNA from 1 species